UUUCGGUUUGGCCGUUUGCAGGUGGAGAUGAGUCAGCCCCAGUUGGGGGUUACCAGCACGGUCUCAUGACUGGGGUCAUUUCCUCCUUGUAUUUUUUCCCCCAUGCUGCUCAGUAUAAAUUGAGCAGAGUCGACUAAAGCAUUGGCAUUCUUCCUUGACGAACGACCCAAACCUGUGUCUUCUGUGAAAUCCCCCAAGGCCUACGCCGGAUUCUUGAUACCGUGAUACCGUGAUGGCGCAGGUGCCAUCAAGUGGAGGUUCCACUUGACGGACGAGAUCGGUUAGAGAGGAGCGCCUGACGGGAUCGUUCCGAGGAGCCGCCAGCGAAGUGAACGAAGUGAACGGAACUGAACAUACUGGGUGGCUGGCGCUAACAGUGAACUGAAAUUCUCCAGGAUACCUGGCCUGCAUCAGCUCCAUGAAAGCUGAGGUAAGAUUGCUGCCACGUUAGAAGAACCCUGAGAAGAACCUGUUACAUGCGGCCUGCUAUCACAGAUGGCCAUUACUCAAGGACAAACUUUCAAUUUCUUAAUUCCUUCCUAAUCAUCCCCUGAACAUCCGCUUGUGGAAGGCCAGUUUCAGCUCCUGAGUCUGGCUACAUCCCUAGCCAGCUAGAAGUGCUUCCUGUGGUGAAUAAAGUUUCUUCUCAUUUACUUCCGA